rnacentral:rRNA from 1 species
CACGUAGGGCGCAAGCGUUGUCCGGAAUUAUUGGGCGUAAAGAGCUCGUAGGCGGCUUGUCGCGUCGGUUGUGAAAGCCCGGGGCUUAACCCCGGGUCUGCAGUCGAUACGGGCAGGCUAGAGUUCGGUAGGGGAGAUCGGAAUUCCUGGUGUAGCGGUGAAAUGCGCAGAUAUCAGGAGGAACACCGGUGGCGAAGGCGGAUCUCUGGGCCGAUACUGACGCUGAGGAGCGAAAGCGUGGGGAGCGAACAGG